UACGUAGGGGGCAAGCGUUGUCCGGAAUCAUUGGGCGUAAAGCGCGUGUAGGCGGUUCGGUAAGUCGGCUGUGAAAGCCCUCGGCUUAACUGAGGAAGUGCACCCGAAACUGGAUAGCUAGAGUACGAAAGAGGGUCGCGGAAUUCCCGGUGUAGAGGUGAAAUUCGUAGAUAUCGGGAGGAACACCGGUGGCGAAGGCGGCGACCUGGGUCGAGACUGACGCUGAGGCGCGAAAGCGUGGGGAGCAAACAGG
rnacentral:rRNA from 1 species